UUAUCCCUUUUUUAUCUUAUAACAUAAUAUAUUUUGUCUUUUUUUUAAUUAUAUUUUAAUUUAUCUAAUUUUUUAUUUUAAAAUUAAAUAUUAAAUCAAAUAAAGUAUUUAAAUAUUAAUGUUAUUUAUUUUAAAAUAUAUGAUGAUGAAGAAGUACUAUCAUUUAUUUUUUAAAAUUGAAAGAUUCAAAAAUCAUUUUAGAGACACUAAGUAAAAAUUAAUCAUUUUUUU
rnacentral:lncRNA from 1 species